UACGUAGGGGGCGAGCGUUGUCCGGAUUCAUUGGGCGUAAAGGGCUCGUAGGCGGUUCGUCACGUCGGGAGUGAAAACUCAGGGCUUAACCCUGAGCCUGCUUCCGAUACGGGCAGACUAGAGGUAUGCAGGGGAGAACGGAAUUCCUGGUGUAGCGGUGAAAUGCGCAGAUAUCAGGAGGAACACCAAUAGCGAAGGCAGCUCGCUGGGACGUUACUGACACUGGAGGCGCGAAAGCGUGGGGGAGCGAACAGG
rnacentral:rRNA from 1 species